GAUCCCGUAGCUCAGUUGGAUAGAGUUCCAGCCUCCGACGCUGUAGGUCAUGAGUUCGACUCUCAUCGGGAUCGCCA
rnacentral:tRNA from 1 species